rnacentral:rRNA from 1 species
UACGUAGGGGGCAAGCGUUGUCCGGAAUCAUUGGGCGUAAAGCGCGUGUAGGCGGCUCGGUAAGUCUGCUGUGAAAGUCCAGGGCUCAACCCUGGAAAGCCGGUGGAAACUGUCGAGCUAGAGUCCGGAAGAGGCGAGUGGAAUUCCUGGUGUAGCGGUGAAAAUGCGCAGAUAUCAGGAGGAACACCAAUGGCGAAGGCAGCUCGCUGGGACGGUACUGACGCUGAGACGCGAAAGCGUGGGGAGCAAACAGG